AUGGCUGCGGUAUCUUGACCGUGCAAAGGUAGCAUAAUCAUUAGUUUAUUAAUUGUGGACUUGUAUGAAUGGCUUGAUGAAAUAUUAGCUGUCUUUAUAAUAUGAAUGGAACUUAAUUUUUUGGUUAAAAAGCCUAACUUUAUUUAAGGGACGAGAAGACCCUAUAGAUCUUUAUUUUAUAGACUUUUUUUUUAUUAUGUUUUAUUUGAAAUUUUUAUUAAAUUUUGUUGGGGUGACAUGGAGAUAUUUAAAACUCUUUUUUAUUAUUUCAUUAAUUUAUGUUUUUUAUUAAUAUUUAUUAUAUGUUUAGAAUUAGAUACCUUAGGGAUAACAGCGUAAUUUAACUUGAGAGUUCAUAUUGACAGUUAAGAUUGCGACCUCGAUGUUGGAUUAAGGAUAAAUUUUGGUGUAGAAGUCAAUUUUUUUGGUCUGUUCGACCUUUAAAUUCUUACAUGAUCUGAGUUCAAAACCGGAGAA
rnacentral:rRNA from 1 species